rnacentral:rRNA from 1 species
AGAGUUUGAUCCUGGCUCAGGACGAACGCUGGCGGCGUGCUUAACACAUGCAAGUCGAACGGAAAGGCCCCCACCUUGGUGGGGGUGCUCGAGUGGCGAACGGGUGAGUAACACGUGGGUGAUCUGCCCUGUACUUCGGGAUAAGCUUGGGAAACUGGGUCUAAUACCGGAUAGGACCAUGGUUUAGUGUCUCAUGGUGGAAAGAUUAUUGUUUUGGUGCAGGAUGAGCUCGCGGCCUAUCAGCUUGUUGGUGGGGUAAUGGCCUACCAAGGCGUCGACGGGUAGCCGGCCUGAGAGGGUGGACGGCCACAUUGGGACUGAGAUACGGCCCAGACUCCUACGGGAGGCAGCAGUGGGGAAUAUUGCACAAUGGGCGCAAGCCUGAUGCAGCGACGCCGCGUGGGGGAUGACGGCCUUCGGGUUGUAAACUCCUUUCGUUAGGGACGAAGCCACAUUUUUUUGGGUGUGGUGACGGUACCUUUGUUAAGAAGCACCGGCUAACUACGUGCCAGCAGCCGCGGUAAUACGUAGGGUGCGAGCGUUGUCCGGAAUUACUGGGCGUAAAGAGCUCGUAGGUGGUUUGUUGCGUCGUCUGUGAAAUUCCGGGGCUUAACUUCGGGGUGGCAGGCGAUACGGGCAUAACUAGAGUGCUGUAGGGGAGACUGGAAUUCCUGGUGUAGCGGUGGAAUGCGCAGAUAUCAGGAGGAACACCGAUGGCGAAGGCAGGUCUCUGGGCAGUAACUGACGCUGAGGAGCGAAAGCAUGGGGAGCGAACAGGAUUAGAUACCCUGGUAGUCCAUGCUGUAAACGGUGGGCGUUAGGUGUGGGGACCGGUUUUGGUUUCUGUGCCGUAGCUAACGCAUUAAGCGCCCCGCCUGGGGAGUACGGCCGCAAGGCUAAAACUCAAAGGAAUUGACGGGGGC